rnacentral:misc_RNA from 1 species
CUGCAACUAAGAGAUUCUCUGUGUGUGUGGUUCUCUCGUUGUUUCUUUCUUUCUCUUUCAAGAUUCUGCAUCUUAGCUUCUCUUCUCCAUUUGCAAGUCAAACCCAGUAUCUUUUCUUUCUCUUCUUAGAAAUAAAGCAUUCAUAACAAGUGAAAGAACAGUGCCAGAAAUUGGAACUUCUAGCUGAUUGUCUAUUUGAGAUUUCUUUUGUGGAUUUGGCUGAAUGAACUCUCAUCAAUGCCUUUAUUAGAUAUUGCUACUGCUCAGGCGUCCUUGCAAAAUCAUCUUAGUCCAUUAGGGGUUAAAUCCCUCGUUCACUCUAAGGUUUUAUCAAGUCCAUUUACAUUUGGGGAUGAGAAGAGACCAUUAUCUGUGUGGAAAUCAUUCCACUUCCCUACAAAGUUAAAUGCUUAUGAGAGGAGUAAACUUCAGAUCAAGGCAGUUGCUACCCUUGAACUCAAGUGUGUAGUUCACAAGGAGGAUGGACACAGGACCAGUGAAAAUGCACAGCUUGAUGUCGAUUCAGAUUCCUCAAAGGUUCAGGCUGAGUUCUCAAGUGCAGACUCAACGGAAUUGGAUGAGAGAGAAAGGUUGAGGCGGAUUAGGAUUUCUAAAGCAAAUAGAGGAAAUACACCAUGGAACAAAGGGAGGAAGCACAGUGCUGAAACCCUUCAACGGAUUAGAGAAAGAACAAAGCUUGCAAUGCAGAAUCCUAAGAUCAAGAUGAAGUUGGCCAAACUUGGACAUGCUCAGAGUGAAGAGACAAGAAUGAAAAUUGGAGCUGGAGUGCGAAUGAGGUGGCAAAAGCACCGCGAGAAGAUGACUGUGCAGGAAACUUGUGUCUUUGAGUGGCAAAAUUUGAUUGCAGAAGCUUCAAGAAGAGGAUAUCUUGGUGAGGAAGAGCUGCAGUGGGAUUCCUACAAGAUCUUAAGAGAAAAGCUUGAAGUUGAAUGGGUAGAGAGUGUCGAACAAAGAAAAGCAGUGCAUAGGCCAAAGGGUAGCAAGAGAGCACCAAAGUCCCCUGAACAAAGAAGAAAAAUUGCUGAAUCCAUUGCUGCCAAAUGGGCUGAUCCUGUGAGUUCACAUUGAAGAUUGUCAUACUUCAUGUUUUCUGCAUUGAGCAUAACUUAUGAAAUUGGAGUACAAGCCCAAUCUAUUGAAUUCAAGGGUGAAAGAAAAAUAGAGGAUGAAAAAUUCAAUUUGGGAUAUGAAAAAGGAAAAAGGGAUGUUCCCUGGCCAAGAAAAGAUGGCACAAUACCUAAUUUUAUAUAUGUAGCUCUACAUAAUCAGUGGGAAAAGAUGUGGGUUUGGACAUGAUAUACCUACUGAAUUCAAUUUGGCUCUGAGAUUAUCCUUUUGCACUUGCCUGAACCUGUCAUGGACCUCACUAAUCACCAUCUGCAUGUUUCCUUGUUAACAGUCUACAAUCAACUGAUCCCUUGUUAGCUGAGUUCAUUUGUUGUGUCUCAUGGUAGUAAAAGUUAUAAAUGAUUCAGCUCUGCAGCUGGAAACUUGUGCGUGUUUAUUCUUCACUUUAAUUUAUUUUUAUGGUCACACUAGGCAUACCGAGAACGAGUUUGCUCUGCAAUUGCUAAAUAUCAUGGCAUACCAGCUGGAGCUGAAAGGAAGCCAAGGCGAAGGCCAAGUACACAAUCCAAGAAACAGGACCCAACAAAGAAAAAAACUAGGGAUACCAACAACUUGUCUGGAAGUGACACUACAAGCCCAAUUCAGCAACUAAGGUCGCAGAGAAGUAAGACACCAUUGUACAACGAUCCUUUGGCAGGUUCAAAGUUGGAGAUGAUAAAGAACAUCAGAGCACAAAGAGCUGCCACAGAAACCAAGAAAACUGAAGCCAUUGAACGAGCAAGGUUGUUAAUAGCUGAAGCUGAGAAGGCUGCUAAGGCCCUUGAGGUUGCUGCAACAAAGAGCCCUGUUGCUCAAGCCUCCCUCCUGGAAUCUAGAAAGCUUAUAACUGAAGCAAUUCAGUCACUUGAAUCCAUAGAAACUGUGCAUAUCACAUCUAGUAAGAAUGACUUGGACCCUUCUCUUGGCCCAACUGAACGGGUUAGCCAGGUUGAGAUGGGAACGGACAUGGGAAAUGGAAGCUCUAAUCAAGCAGAGUCAAAAGAAGUAAAUGGGACCAAAAUCCUUGCAUCAAGUAAAUAUGAGGACCUCAAUUUCUCCAACUUAUCCUUACAUGAUAUUCUGAAUGGUGAGAAUGAACUUCUCUCUACAAACUCCAGUGGGUAUAGUUUGCCUUCAAUUAGAUUGGAGAGUCUCGUAGAGCAGCUGGGUUUGCCAAAUCAAUUUGGCCGAUUGGAACCACAUGGGAUUAUUAAACCUCAAAAGAAUCGUUUACUGAAUGGAUCCCAUGUUCAGCAAGUGAAAGAGGAGUCACCUUCUAAACCAAUCUCUAGCACUAAGAAAUGGGUUCGCGGAAGACUUAUUGAAGUGAAAGAGGGUGAUUAGAUUCGACUCAUAGAAAAUUUCAAAGUUGAUCACAUUAUCCAAAUUUUAUCUUAGCUUGGGGAUGACAUGAGCAGUGUGAUUCCUCAUCGUGGUUCUUUCUGAUCCAAGAACCCAGGAAUCCUGCUAACACAAAGUUGCUAUUUCAGCUUGUCACUAUAUCUUAUAAUAUUUGGUUCUGUAAUACAUAGUUGAUUAAAAGAAUUUUUGUUAAUACUGAAUACUUGAAGAAACAUUGGUAUCAGCAAUACUUUUAUUGUUCUGUAUGAGAUUAAUCAUCAGAUUUAAUUAUAAGCAUUGGUUCUUUCGCUGUGAUAUUGUUCAAUAUUUAGAGACUGGCCAAAGUCUAUUUGCUU